rnacentral:rRNA from 1 species
ACGGAGGGGGCUAGCGUUGUUCGGAAUUACUGGGCGUAAAGCGCACGUAGGCGGCUUGGUAAGUUAGAGGUGAAAGCCCGGAGCUCAACUCCGGAAUUGCCUUUAAGACUGCCGAGCUAGCAGGUGAGAGAGGUAAGUGGAAUUCCGAGUGUAGAGGUGAAAUUCGUAGAUAUUCGGAAGAACACCAGUGGCGAAGGCGGCUUACUGGCUCAUACUGGACGCUGAGGUGCGAAAGCGUGGGGAGCAAACAG